AAUGAACGCUGGCGGCGUGCCUAAUACAUGCAAGUCGAGCGAACAGACGAGGAGCUUGCGCCCCUGACGUUAGCGGCGGACGGGUGAGUAACACGUGGAUAACCUACCUCUAAGACUGGGGUAAUAUCGGGAAACAAGAGCUAAUAACGGAUAAUAUAUUGAACCGCAUGGGUCAAUAGUGAAAGACGGUUUUGCUGUGACUAAUAGACGGAUCCGGGUCGCAUUAGCUAGUUGGUAAGGUAACGGCUUACCAAGGCGACGAUGCGUAGCCGACCUGAGAGGGUGAUCGCCCACCCUGUAACUGAGACACGGCCCAGACUCCUACGGGAGGCAGCAGUAGGGACUCUUCCGCAAUGGGCGAAAGCCUGAUGGAGCAACACCGCGUGAGUGAUGAAGGUCUUCGGAUCGUAAAGCUCUGUUGUUAGGAAAGAACAAAAGUGUAUUUACCUAUGCACGUCUUGACGGUACCUAAACAAUAAGCCCCGGCUAACUACGUG
rnacentral:rRNA from 1 species